rnacentral:rRNA from 1 species
GACGAACGCUGGCGGCGUGCUUAACACAUGCAAGUCGAACGGAAAGGCCCUGCUUUUGUGGGGUGCUCGAGUGGCGAACGGGUGAGUAACACGUGAGUAACCUGCCCUUGACUUUGGGAUAACUUCAGGAAACUGGGGCUAAUACCGGAUAGGAGCUCCUGCUGCAUGGUGGGGGUUGGAAAGUUUCGGCGGUUGGGGAUGGACUCGCGGCUUAUCAGCCUGUUGGUGGGGUAGUGGCUUACCAAGGCUUUGACGGGUAGCCGGCCUGAGAGGGUGACCGGCCACAUUGGGACUGAGAUACGGCCCAGACUCCUACGGGAGGAAGCAGUGGGGAAUAUUGCACAAUGGGCGGAAGCCUGAUGAAGCAACGCCGCGUGCGGGAUGAAGGCCUUCGGGUUGUAAACCGCUUUCGCCUGUGACGAAGCGUGAGUGGCGGUAAUGGGUAAAGAAGCACCGGCUAACUACGUG